rnacentral:rRNA from 1 species
CGGGUGAGUAACGCGUGGAUAACCUGCCUCACACAGGGGAGUAACAGUUAGAAAUGACUGCUAAUACCGCAUAAGCGCACGGUACCGCAUGGUACAGUGUGAAAAACUCCGGUGGUGUGAGAUGGAUCCGCGUCUGAUUAGGUAGUUGGUGAGGUAAUGGCCCACCAAGCCGACGAUCAGUAGCCGACCUGAGAGGGUGACCGGCCACAUUGGGACUGAGACACGGCCCAA